rnacentral:rRNA from 1 species
CAGUAGCCGCGGUAAUACGAAGGGGGCUAGCGUUGCUCGGAAUCACUGGGCGUAAAGGGUGCGUAGGCGGGUCUUUAAGUCAGGGGUGAAAUCCUGGAGCUCAACUCCAGAACUGCCUUUGAUACUGAAGAUCUUGAGUUCGGGAGAGGUGAGUGGAACUGCGAGUGUAGAGGUGAAAUUCGUAGAUAUUCGCAAGAACACCAGUGGCGAAGGCGGCUCACUGGCCCGAUACUGACGCUGAGGCACGAAAGCGUGGGGAGCAAACAGGAUUAGAGACCCGCGUAGUCCCUGUCUCUUAUAC